rnacentral:rRNA from 1 species
GAUGAACGCUGGCGGCGUGCCUAAUACAUGCAAGUCGAGCGAAGCGGGGACGGGUGAGUAAUACGUGGAAAACCUCCUAUAAAACGGGGAUAACUUCGGGAAACGGGAGCUAAACCGGAAACUUCCAGAUUGAUACGCGCUGCAUUAGCUAGUUGGUAAGGUAACGGCUUACCAAGGCAACGAUGCAUAGCCGACCUGAGAGGGUGAUCGGCCACACUGGAACUGAGACACGGUCCAGACUCCUACGGGAGGCAGCAGUGGGGAAUCUUCCGCAAUGGGCGAAAGCCUGACGGAGCAACGCCGCGUGAGUGAUGAAGGUCUUCGGGUCGUAAAACUCUGUUAGUAGGGAAGCGGUACCUAAUCAGAAAGCCACGGCUAACUACGUGCCAGCAGCCGCGGUAAUUC